rnacentral:rRNA from 11 species
CUAUGAGGACUAAAGACCUGAAAAGCACCAAAUCCUGGCUGAUCUUGGAAGCUAAGCAAGGGACAGUACUGGUUAGUAUUUGGAUGGGUCCCAACCACCAGGAAAUAUCAGGUGCUCUAGGC